GGUCUGAGAGGAUGAUCAGUCACACUGGAACUGAGACACGGUCCAGACUCCUACGGGAGGCAGCAGUGGGGAAUAUUGGACAAUGGGCGAAAGCCUGAUCCAGCCAUGCCGCGUGUGUGAAGAAGGUCUUCGGAUUGUAAAGCACUUUAAGUUGGGAGGAAGGGCAGUAAGUUAAUACCUUGCUGUUUGACGUUACCAACAGAAUAAGCACCGGCUAACUUCGUGCCAGCAGCCGCGGUAAUACGAAGGGUGCAAGCGUUAAUCGGAAUUACUGGGCGUAAAGAGAGCGUAGGUGGUUCAGCAAGUUGGAUGUGAAAUCCCCGGGCUCAACCUGGGAACUGCAUCCAAAACUAC
rnacentral:rRNA from 1 species